GACGAACGCUGGCGGCGUGCCUAAUACAUGCAAGUCGAACGCACAGUUUAUACCGUAGCUUGCUACACCAUAAACUGUGAGUUGCGAACGGGUGAGUAACGCGUAGGUAACCUGCCUGGUAGCGGGGGAUAACUAUUGGAAACGAUAGCUAAUACCGCAUAAUAUUGAUUAUUGCAUGAUAAUUGAUUGAAAGAUGCUAUUGCAUCACUACCAGAUGGACCUGCGUUGUAUUAGCUAGUAGGUGAGGUAACGGCUCACCUAGGCGACGAUACAUAGCCGACCGGAGAGGGUGAUCGGCCACACUGGGACUGAGACACGGCCCAGACUCCUACGGGAGGCAGCAGUAGGGAAUCUUCGGCAAUGGACGAAAGUCUGACCGAGCAACGCCGCGUGAGUGAAGAAGGUUUUCGGAUCGUAAAGCUCUGUUGUAAGAGAAGAACGGGUGUGAGAGUGGAAAGUUCACACUGUGACGGUAUCUUACCAGAAAGGGACGGCUAACUACGUG
rnacentral:rRNA from 1 species